CUUGCACGGACCAAGGACAUGUAUGUCUAUCUGGAAUUAUGAGGUUCUAGGCUUGGCUGUGUGAAGAUCAAAGCAGAGGAAGCCACACAAUGCAGAGAAUCAACAGUGGAGCUAUGCCUAGUGAGAAGCAAAGAGACACUGGAUGGCCUGAGAGGGAAAGAGACUGAGAAAAGCUGUCAGCUUUUAGUUCCUGGUUCCAGUCCUUUGUGACGGCCAGCUUGAUUAGAGGUUUAUAACAGUUCACUACUUCAUCUACAUCCUCAAGCCAACACCUAUGAAAAAGAUAAUGGUGUCCGAUGACAGGCCUCUGCUAACAGUGUAAGGCUAUCUGUGAACUCCUCAGUCUACACAUAUCUUCCUCAGCCUCUGGGAUUCCAUUUCCACCCAAGAAUUAAAUUGAUAGAAAGAAAAACAGCAAAAUAUACACAUAUUUUUCCACUAUUAAAUCCAAUAAUGAUGACUUAAUUUCAGCAAAACAUCAUCAAUCGCAUUAAAUUAAUGUUGCUGUUAAUUUGAAUUUUAUGGGUUUUAUAGUUUUGUUUUGGAUUGUAGAUGUAAAUCUGUUUUAGUUUUAUAGCUGUAAAAAGUGAUAGGCAUAAAGAGUUACACUUAGUUUUAUAUCUGUACAUAUAUUAGUAACAUUAUUUUUAUUAUCAUUCAAGUCCAUAUUGGAGUAUCACAAGAAUUUUUUUUCCUAAGUUUGAAGUUGUUUCCUUUAUACGUUUUUUUGUAAGUUACAUUUGUACCCCAAGUUUCAUCAUCCUAUUAUCCCCACUUUAGACAUAAAGAACAGGCCCCUAAGAAAGCUUCAGAAACUUGCUCUGACCAUUCAGUCAUCAGAUCAGAACUCUGCAUCAAUCCAAAUGUUACCUGGUAUGCCAGGAUAAGAACUAAGAACAGAAUGGCUCUGCCUCCAGCACACCAAGAGGAAAUAGCCUGGUUCAAUUAAGUUUUCCAAGAUUAGAAAGCUUUUCAAAUAUCCAAUGUAUUCCUAAUGCCCUAAAGUGUAGGCAAAAAUUGUACUAUUAUU
rnacentral:lncRNA from 1 species